AGCAGUGGGGAAUAUUGGACAAUGGGCGAAAGCCUGAUCCAGCCAUGCCGCGUGUGUGAAGAAGGUCUUCGGAUUGUAAAGCACUUUAAGUUGGGAGGAAGGGCAGUAAAUUAAUACUUUGCUGUUUUGACGUUACCGACAGAAUAAGCACCGGCUAACUCUGUGCCAGCAGCCGCGGUAAUACAGAGGGUGCAAGCGUUAAUCGGAAUUACUGGGCGUAAAGCGCGCGUAGGUGGUUCGUUAAGUUGGAUGUGAAAUCCCCGGGCUCAACCUGGGAACUGCAUUCAAAACUGACGAGCUAGAGUAUGGUAGAGGGUGGUGGAAUUUCCUGUGUAGCGGUAAAAUGCGUAGAUAUAGGAAGGAACACCAGUGGCGAAGGCGACCACCUGGACUGAUACUGACACUGAGG
rnacentral:rRNA from 1 species